AUGCUUAGGAAAAUGUUCCAAGGUGGUUCUUCAAGGAAGCAAGGACCCAGGCUUGCAAUGCGUGAUGCUGACGAUGAGCCACCAAGGGACGCUCCAGUGCGGCCUUGUGAAUGGCCUUCAGAGAACUUUAUGGAUCGAGCGGGAAUCAAGGAAGAAUUUAACGCAUAUUUGCGUAACGCUGAUCUUGUGAGCUUCGAGGCAGAGAAAUGCCGCCAGUACCACUAUCUCACUAGUACAUUUGUGAGGAGGUUUGAAUUUUCAUCUUCACGUAAUUCUCCAACUGUCCUGUUUGAUCUCUAUGAAAAAUCUUAUACUAUGGACUUAGAGGAUUUUACCGCUGCUUGCAAACUUCCACAAUGGGGUAGUGCUAGUGAACCUCGCAAAUCUGAAUUUAGAAAUUUUCUUGCUAGUAUAACUGUGGGGGAAUCUAGAGAUAUAGCACAAGCUACCAUAGGGAGCAUUCAUUUUCCCACUAUACAUUAUUUUGCUCUCUUCAUAGGUAGGUGCAUAAAUGGUAAAGAUGAAGCAUGUCACAUGUGUGUCCCUGAUCUCAGUAUUCUUAGGAGUGUUGUGUUAGGAGACAAAACUUAUAACUUGGGAGCCAUUGUUGCACGUAGGUUGCACCAUAAUAGAUUUAAUGGAGAUUUAUUUGGAGGAAUUUAUGCAACCCGCUUAGCUGAUUUUCUUGGUGUGUACAUUCGUGAGGAUGAUAUUGAGGUGCCUCCUACCUAUUUAGACUAUAAUGCUAUGGUCCACCACCAGUUUAUCGAGAGGAAUGAAUCACCUCUCCGGUAUCGCUUAAUCUUUGACAAACGUCAUGCUGUCUGUAUUACUCUCCCUGCUCCUGCCUUCUUUGAUUAUCAGGCAAAAGGAAAAUAUGUUAUUACCAGAGAGGAGGCAGAUGAGUACAAGAGGAGGGCGGAGGCAGCUCGCCGCCACGCUGCAGCUCAGGAGGCAAUAACUGCCGCAGCUCAGUACGACCCUGGCUACAACUACGGAUAUCCGCCAGGCCAUCCUUGGUAA
rnacentral:rRNA from 1 species